rnacentral:rRNA from 1 species
GAAUCUUGCGCAAUGGUCGAAAGACUGACGCAGCGACGCCGCGUGCGGGAGGAAGCCCUUCGGGGUGUAAACCGCUGUUACUCGGGACGAACUUCCCGAUUCAUCGGGAUUGACGGUACCGGGGGAGGAAGCACCGGCUAACUCUGUGCCAGCAGCCGCGGUAAUACAGAGGGUGCGAGCGUUGUCCGGAAUCACUGGGCGUAAAGGGCGCGUAGGCGGCUUCUCACGCGUGCGGUGAAAGCCCGGGGCUUAACUCCGGGUCUGCCGUGCGAACGGGGAGGCUUGAGUCUGGUAGAGGUCGAUGGAAUUCCGGGUGUAGCGGUGGAAUGCGUAGAGAUCCGGAAGAACACCGGUGGCGAAGGCGGUCGACUGGGCCAGAACUGACGCUGAGGCGCGACAGCGUGGGGAGCAAACAGG